UGUAAAAUGGAAACAGCCAAGAUCAUCUUGUUAAACCAGUGAGAUUUAUUGGAGUUACAUACAGGACUUAGGGGAAGCAGUUAGUAAAUGAGAGCACAAGGGACUCAAAGACAAUUGCUAUCCUGAAACUUAAAACCAGCAUAAGAAAGAGAUAAUAAGUAGUGGACAUUGGAAGCAAACCGCUUAUCUGUAGGCAUCUGAACAGGAUAAAGAGCAUCUUAUCUUAGUGGCUCAGUUUGUCAAAUCCUCUUUUAAGAAGUAUAAUUGGAGUGUGUUCAUUUGAGAUAAACAUACAGAAUGCUGUCAGUUUCAUUAGCUAUUUUGAGGCAUGUAUUUCAUAGCUUCUCUUUGAAAUAGAUCAUUUCAGUCUCCAGGAAAGUUUAUACAACUCCAUAUUCUUUUAGCUUCUCCAUCAUGACAUAUUUAAAAGUGAACAAGUAAAAACUUUUAAUGAAAGAUUUCCUUCAUUGCUGUAUUUUCCAUUUCUCUGAGCAUAAAUGCUGGGUCGCUCCUAAGAUUUGAGGAUUAUUUAAAUGUUUUCCCAACUUCCUCGCAUAUAUAAUAAUUCUCUAGUGUGGAGCUUCAAGUGUUGCCAACAAUACCGCUAGAAUAAAGCACAUGCCAUAGUUUUUCCAGUGGACACUUUUUUUCUGAAUAUAAAUAACCAGGUAUUUUCUUAGGUCUGAGAUUUGGGUAGAGACCUUUCCUCAUAUAUCACAUUCAGAAGGUUUUUAUCCUGAAUGCAUUCUUUCAUGUAUUUUAAGUGGUGAACCAACACUGAAGGAUUUGAACUAUACUAUAUCUAUAAGUUCCUUCUCCUAUAUGUAGUCUCUGAUGAAUUCUAAGAUGAUCUUCCUUGGAAACGGGUUUUUCUCAUUCACUUCAUUUGUGAAGGUGUCAACUGUGUGCAUUCUCUGAUAAGAGCUAAUAUUGUUUUUGGCUAAAGCAUUUGUCACAUUUAUUAUAUUUGUAAGGCUUCUCUCCUAUAUGAAUUCUCGAAUGAAGAUGACGAUAGAAUUUUUGGGUAAAGCAUAUGUCACAUUCACUUUUGUAAGGUGCUUUCUCCUGUAUGAAUUCUCUGAUGUUUUCUAAGAUCACCUUUAUAGGUAAAGCAUUUGUCACAUUCACUACAUUUGUAAGGUUUCUCUCCUGUAUGAACUCUCUGGUGGAUAUUAAGACUGCCUUUUUGGGUAAAGAAUUUGUCACACUCACUACAUUUGUAAGGUUUCUCUCCUGUAUGAAUUCUCUGAUGAAUACUAAGACUGCCUUUAUGGGAAAAGUAUUUUUCACAUUCACUACAUUUGUAAGGCUUCUCUCCUGUAUGAAUUCUCUGAUGACUUCUAAGGCUGCUUUUAAACCUAAACCAUUUGUCACAUUCAUUACAUUUGUAAGGUUUCUCUCCUGUAUGAAUUCUCUCAUGUCUUCUAAGAUCACCAACUAGAUUGAAACAUUUCUUACAUUCACUACAUUUGUAAGUUUUCUUGCCUGUAUGACGCAUCUGAUGAAUACUAAGACUGCUUUUUUGGUUAAAGGAUUUGCCACAUUCACUACAUUUGUAAGGUUUCUUGCCUGCAUGACGCAUCUGAUGAAUACUAAGACUGCCUUUUUGGGUAAAGGAUUUGUCACAUUCACUACAUUUGUAAGGUUUCUCUCCUGUAUGAGUUAUCUGAUGUUUUCUAAAAAAGUAUUUCUUGGCAAAACAUUUUGCACAUUCACUACAUUUGUAAGGUUUCUUUCCACUUUUGGUUUGUUUCAACAUGAGGAUUUCUUUAGAGUCAAAAACAUCAUCAAGCUUUGCACUAUUGUAUUCUUUCUUUCCUAUGUUGAUUCCUUGAUUUUGACUAAUGGUAGAGCACAAAUUGAAACAGUUUACAUGGUUUUUAUAUUUGCAAGGUUCUCUGUUGUUUUCAGUUUCGUGUCUGCUUAGGUUUGAUGAUUCAACAGAUGUAGACCUGAGGUUAGUUUUAUAAGGUAUACUUCCGGUGAACUCAUGGAUGACUUUGCCAAGCUCAUGACAUUCAUAAGAUUUCACUUGGAUAUUUGCAUGCUUGUGGACAAUAUGUUGUAGGUCUUGAUCCAACAUGUUCUCAAAUUUUGGACACAUGCAGU
rnacentral:lncRNA from 1 species